CGCGCCGAGUCGAACCGGCCGGGCCGAGCGUGACGGUCCCCUCACCUCCUCUCCUUUCCCCUCCCCUCCCCGCCCGCCCUCCUGCUCACUACUUCUCUCGACGCGAGCAGGCUCCCGCCUUGCGCCGCCGCCCCGCAAGCAGCUCCUUUUCGCCCGAGGCGCGCAGGGCGCCCCCGCGAGCCCCGCGGAUGCUGCUGCUAGGGGUGGUGGGAGCAGCCGUGGGACGCGUGGCCGGGAACGGGGGUGACAGCCUGGGAUUCCGGGGGCUUCUCUUCCUUGUCCUCCUCUCCUCUCUAUUUCCAGUGUGGCUGUGGCUGACACUAAAGACUUUGUAGCCAUCAACCAGAGUGCAGUUUCGAUGGAAAAUGAAGGUUGCACGUUUUCAGAAAAUACCUAAUGGUGAAAAUGAGACAAUGAUUCCUGUAUUGACAUCAAAAAAAGCAAGUGAAUUACCAGUCAGUGAAGUUACAAGCAUUCUCCAAG